rnacentral:rRNA from 1 species
GACGAACGCUGGCGGCGUGCUUAACACAUGCAAGUCGAACGAAGAGCGAUGGAAGCUUGCUUCUAUCAAUCUUAGUGGCGAACGGGUGAGUAACGCGUAAUCAACCUGCCCUUCAGAGGGGGACAACAGUUGGAAACGACUGCUAAUGCCGCAUACGAUCUGACCUCGGCAUCGAGGAUAGAUGAAAGGUGGCCUCUAUUUAUAAGCUAUCACUGAAGGAGGGGAUUGCGUCUGAUUAGCUAGUUGGAGGGGUAACGGCCCACCAAGGCGAUGAUCAGUAGCCGGUCUGAGAGGAUGAACGGCCACAUUGGGACUGAGACACGGCCCAGACUCCUACGGGAGGCAGCAGUGGGGAAUCUUCCGCAAUGGACGAAAUUCUGACGGAGCAACGCCGCGUGAGUGAUGACGGCCUUCGGGUUGUAAAGCUCUGUUAAUCGGGACGAAAGGCCUUCUUGCGAAUAGUUAGAAGGAUUGACGGUACCGGAAUAGAAAGCCACGGCUAACUACGUG